UACAUCAGUGUUAUGUUAUUGUAUGACUUCAUCUUUUAUACAGUCGGGUUCGGGGUUUCGGGCAGCCAUGGCGAAUUUCGGCAAAGAUUUUACCCCAGUGAAAAAGGCUUGUAAUCCACAGUGAUCAGCUAAGAUGUUGUUUCACUGGAUUAUUUAAUUGGGCAUAUAAUUGGAUAAUUCUGGAUCAACUGAGAUGUUAUUUCACUGGAUUAUUUAAUGGAUAGACUUAUUGGGCAUAUAUUUGGAUAUCUCUG